rnacentral:lncRNA from 1 species
CCUUCACCAGCAUGCUGGAGGGAGCUGCGGGGACACCAGAGGGGACACCAGAGGGGACGCUGCCGGCCGGGUCCGGACCGGCCGAGAGCCCCGGGGUGUCCCCGCGGCACAGCCUGGGGCACCCAGGCGUGCGCCGAGCGGAGCCGGGCUGCUCGCCCUGCCCACAGCCACGGCAGCAGGGCUCCCCACAGCUCAGAGGGAACUCCUGCCUUCCUGCGGGGAAUUUUGGGGGAUUUUGGGGAAUUUUUUUGGGGAAUUCUGGGGAAUUCUGGGGAAUUUUAUGGGGAAUUUUGGUGAAUUCUGGGGAAUUUUUUUGGGAAUUUUUUUGGGAAUGUUGGGGAAUUCUGGGGGAAUUUUUGGAGGAAUUUUGGGGAUUUUGGAGGAAUUUUUGGGAAUUCUGGGGAACGUGGGGAAUUUUUGGGGGAACUUUUUGGGGAAUUUUUGGGAAUUCUGGGGAAUGUGGGGAAUCUUCUGGGUAAUUUUGGGGAGUUUGGGGAAACGUUGGGAAUCUUUUGGGGGGUUUUGGGGAUUUUUGGGUAAUUUUCUGGGUAAUUUUGGGGGAAUUCUGGGGAAUGUGGGGAAUUUUUUGGGGGGAAUUUAGGAGAAUUCUGGGGAAUGCGGGGAAUCUUUUGGGUAAUUUUGGGGAAUUUGGGGGAUGUUGGGGAUUCUGGGGAAUGUGAGGGGCGCGGUCAGCCCUGCGCACAGCCAGCAGGAGGGAACGGAGCGUUGUCCUGGGGCAGCUGUGUCCCCGUGUCCCCGCCGAGCAGCAGCCCAGGAGCCGUGUCCGGAAGGUUCCUGCGCCGCCGGCGGGCACACGGGCACGGAGCUCCCGGGAAAAACACCCCUCUGUCUUGGGGCUCCCACGCCCCACUGCCCGCCGUGCUCCUUCCGGAGCAGAACAAAACAGGCCAGAGCCCAACCCUGCUGCCAGAGCAGGAGCAGGGCAGGGGAACGCUCACGGCGUGUCCAGACACUGGCAUGAGAUCAUGAAAUUAUAUAGUAAUAAUAAUAAUAAUAAUAAUAAUAAUAAUAAUAAUAAUAAUAAUAAUAAUAAUAAUAAUAAUAAUAAAAUAAUAAAAAUAAUAAAAAUAAUAAAAAUA